rnacentral:lncRNA from 1 species
GUAAAUUUAAAGGUUAAUUUGUGUCUUCUUAUCUUGUCGAUGAGAUUCGGAAUAACAGUCUGUAGUCCAAUUAUAUCAGUCUUUAGUCCAAGCUUAAUCAGACAUGUAGAAGGAUCAACAACGGCAACAGGUACCGCGCGCGACAUGGCAACAACAGAUGUAUAUAUUUCUCUUUUCUCCUUCCUGGAGGAAGAUGAAUAUCCCCGUCUUUUUACUACUCGGUUAUUGGUGAUUCUCCGUAUACUCCAUUUUCUCUAUUGAUCAUUGUUCUUAUUUUAUCGCGAGGACAGUGUACACCGGACUAAUCGGAACGAUCGAUCAAGCAUUCACAUAGGAAUCUAAAAUGUCGCUCCUAGUAAU